GGACCAUCCAGUUUCAGGAAAACAAGCUUAACACGCCCACUGAUUCUACAUUAUGAUUCUUCAGGCCCAGCGUCUGCCUCACUGUGGACCCCCCAAGCCAAGCUCCCAACCUUUCAGCAGCUUCUACACACCCAGCUCCCGCCUGCCAGUGGCCUCUUCAGGCCCAUGGUGCUCAUUCCUCACAACAGCCUUUCCAGUCCCAGUUUUUCCCUUCCGGCGGCCUCUCCGGGCUGAGAACCUCCUCAAGUCGGCCUCUCCAGACCCACUUGCACCCUCCAGGCGUCCUCUCCGGGCCAAGCUCCUCUUCCUGGCUGUGUCUCCAGGCCCGACUCCUGCCUCUCAACAACGUCUUUGGACUCAGUGCCUACCCAUCUCCUGGCGUCCUUGGUCGGCCCACAGCUUCCUCAAGCCAAGCUCCCCAGGCCCAGGUCAGGCCUCACGGUGCCCCCUCCACGAUGAGCUCCUGCCCUCCAAUGGCACCUGCAGGCCCCAAAUGGUCUCCGGUCGGUGGGCUCCUCCACGCCAAGCUUGGGCCUCCCGGUGACCUCUGCAGGCCCAAGUUGUCCUGAAGUCAGCAUCUCCCAGCCGUGCCUCCCAGCAAGUAAGCAAGCUCUUUUGGCUCAACUCCUGCCCAGCUCCCAACCGCCUUUGUAGGUCCCGAACUUUCUCCAGCCAAGUUCUUUGGGCCUCAUUCCUGCCGCCCGGUGGCCUGUACGGGCCCAGCAAUGGUUGGAGAACGGCCUCUGCAGGUCCCGCUCUUGCCUCCCAGGGGCCUCUCCAGGCCCAGCUCUCGCCCCCACGGCGGCCACCCGGGGCCAAGUCCCUGCCUGCCUCCCAGCAGCCCGCAUGCGGCCCAGCUCCUCCCUCACGGUGGCCUGUUGAUGCCCAUGCCUCUGGUACCCUGCCCAGAGGCAUGAGCCCCUGCCACACACUGGCUCCUCCCACGCUGAGAGAGGUCAGCGUGAGCCCUUGCCUCACACCGGCCCCUCCCACGCUGAGAGAGGUCAGCGUGAGCCCCUUGCCUCACAUCGGCCCCUCCCACGCUGAGAGAGGUCGGCGUGAGCCCUUGACUCACACCGGCCCCUCCCACGGUGAGAGAGGUCAGCGUCACCCCCUUACCUCACACCGGCCCCUCCCACGCUGAGAGAGGUCGGCGUGAGCCCUUGCCUCACACCGGCCCCUCCCAUGGUGAGAGAGGUCAGCGUCAGCCUCUUGCCUCACACCGGCCCCUCCCACGCUGAGAGAGGUCGGCGUGAGCCCCUUGCCUCACACCCGCCCCUCCCACGCUGAGAGAGGUCGGCGUGAGCCCCUUGCCUCACACCGGCCCCUCCCACGCUGAGAGAGGUCGGCGUGAGCCCUUGCCUCACACCGGCCCCUCCCACGCUGAGAGAGGUCAUCGUCAGCCCCUUGCCUCACACCGGCCCCUCCCACGCUGAGAGAGGUCGGUGUGAGCCCUUGCCUCACACCGGCCCCUCCCACGGUGAGAGAGGUCGGCGUCAGCCCCUUGCCUCACACCGGCCCCUCCCACGCUGAGAGAGGUCGGUGUGAGCCCUUGCCUCACACCGGCCCCUCCCACGGUGAGAGAGGUCGGCGUCAGCCCCUUGCCUCACACCGGCCCCUCCCACGCUGAGAGAGGUCAGUGUGAGCCCUUGCCUCACACCGGCCCCUCCCACGCUGAGAGAGGUCAGCGUGAGCCCCUUGCCUCACACCGGCCCCUCCCACGCUGAGAGAGGUCAGUGUGAGCCCUUGCCUCACACCGGCCCCUCCCACGGUGAGAGAGGUCGGCGUCAGCCCCUUGCCUCACACCGGCCCCUCCCACGCUGAGAGAGGUCGGCGUGAGCCCUUGCCUCACACCGGCCCCUCCCACGCUGAGAGAGGUCAGCGUGACCCCCUGCCUCAACAGGCCACCGUGAGGGAGGAGCAGGGUCGCACGCGGGCUGCUGUGAGGCAGGCAGCGACUUGGGCCUGGGAGGUCGUGGUGGGGUGAGAGCUGGGCUUGGAGACUCCCCUGGGAGGCAACAGCGGGGCCUACAGACUCUGUUCUCCAGCCGGAGCUGGGACUGUUCAGGUACUGGGAGGUGGGAUGUGGGUCUGAAGAGCUUGGUUGCAGAAACUUCGGGGUCUACAAACGCAGGCGGGAGCUGAGCCAAAAAAGGUUGUUUGCUGGGAGGCGGGAGAUGCAGCCAGGAGAAACAGCUCUGCCUGCAGAGGCCGCCAUGCGGGAGGCGGAGGCCGGGCCUCCUCAAAUCGGCCUCUCCAGACCCACUUGCAGCCUCCCGGCAUCCUCUCCGGGCCCAGCUCUUCCUCCCGGCUGCGUCUCCAGGCCUGACUCUGGCCUCCCAACAACGUCUUUGGACUCAGCUCCUGCCCAGCUCCCAGCAGGCCCAAGUCGUCGUCAAGUCGGCCUGGAAUUGGGCCCGGAAGAGCAGCAAGUCGGCCUCCCCGGGCCCAGCUCCGUCCUCUCGGCGGCCUCUCCAGGUGCAAAACUUCCUCGAGUCAGCCUCUCCAGGCCCCGCUCCUCCUGCCUCCCAGUGGCCUCUUUCAGCCCAGACCAGCUCAUGGCUCUUGGCGGCCUUCCCAGGCCCCGCUUUUGACUUUUGGUGGCCUCUUCAGGCCCAGAACUUGACCUCCAGUGGGCCUUUGCAGGCCCGGCCUCCUGCCUCUCGAAGGCCUGCACGGGCCCGGACUCACAGCGGACUCACAGCGGACUCUCCAUGCCCAGCUAGCUCUCGCCUCAUUGCGGCCUCCCGAGUCCAAAGCUCCUGCCUCUCGGCCGCUUCGGCAGGCCCAGCUCCCGCCUGCCAGUGGCCUCUUUAGGCCCAGCUCAUUCCUCACAACGGCCUUCCCAGGCCCCGUUUUUCCCUUCCGGCAGCCUCUUGGCCUCUAAUUUGUUUAUCUUUUGUGUAUAAAUCCCAAAAUAUUGAAUUUUGGAAUAUUUCCACCAUUAUGUAAA